GCUGUGAUCAAGUUGUCUUUUCCUCUGAGCGCCGAGCGCUGUGCACGCCUUGGACUUGGAACGUUUCGAAAUCGGGCUAAAGAAAUAUUCAAAAAAAAUAUUCGAAAAAUUUGAAAACCAAUAUAAAAUAUUAGAAUCCCAACAUAAGCUGCAAAUUUACUAGCAAACAAACCACAAGAUAUAAAAUCAACAAGAAGACAUAAAAAAAUUGUGAAACGACGGACUGACUUACAUGCAUUUUAUUAGUAAAUAACAAAAACCAAAGUAUAUAUUAAAGCAACACAACUGAAGGAAAAUAUCAAUCCAAUUGAAAACACCAAUGAAAAUAAACGCAAACCUGAAACAACAGCCGCAAACAUUUUUAUAAAAUAAACACCAACAAAAAAAAAGGAAAUUCAAUAAAUACAAAAAGGUUUCCCCGCAAAAGAAAAACAAAGAAAGCAUAAAGAAUUGACAGGACACCGUGAAAUGGAUAUGGUAAUGGUAAUGGAAAUGGAGUGAUGAAAAUCGCCAAAUAAAAUGCAUUAAUUAAUAAACCAUGCUCAAAAGAAUUCAAUUAAAUGAGGCAAACUAAUUAAAACAGCAAAGCCAGCCAGCAAACGUUUCACACCAACAAUAUAUCCUACCGCAAAAAUUCCAAACUAUAUAUACGUCUAUUGAGAGCAGGAGGUGGAGAAAUCAAAAUCGCAGGGAAAUGAAGUCGACAAAGGCACCCAAGUCCGGACUGGAACCCAAAAUUUUGUGCUUUUGUAUUUGCCAAUUUUAAUGAGUGUAGCAAGCAAACCAAACCAAACCAAAACCAAAACGAAAAAAACAAUUCUAGAAACCAAAAACUUUAGCAAAAUACAAAAAAACACAAAAAGAACAUCAUCAACAACAACAACAACAUCAACAAUAACCAGAAGAUAGCAGCAGGUCCCAUCAUUAUUAUCAUCAUUUGAAAAAAAAAAAGAAAAUUAAACCAAAAAACUACAAGAAAAACUCAUUUCAAUUGCAAUUAAAUAAAAUCAAAAGACAACCCAGCACGUACACAAUGUGACAAUAAAAGUAAAUACAGUGAGCCAGAAGCUAAGAAGCUGAAAAUGGAAUUUAAUUGCGAGCAGUAUUAGCCAUAAAUGAAAAAGCCAAAAAGCAAAGCAGCAGAAAAGCAGAAAAGCACAAAGCACAGAGAGAGAGAAUCAGAAUCAGAAACAGAAGCAGAACCGCCACAAAAGCGUAUUUUUCAAAUUAAUUCAAAUUCCUUUAUUUUCUUGCACCUUUAAGAUACGUCUCACUGUGUCCUCUGUGUCUCUGUGUGUGUGAGUGUCCUGUUCACGUAUCACGUAUAUGCAUAUGCGUGUGUGCACCCAAAAACCAAAAUCAAAACCUUAAUAGAAACCAAAAACCACAAUCAAAACCACUUCCCCCCACCAUUCCGAACCAUUCCGAUCGGUGUAUCCGUGUAUGUGUAGCACCACCACCACCACAACCACUUUAAAAAAAAUCCAAAAAAAAUAAAAAAUAGAAAAAAGCACAAAUAAUAGAAAAAUCAAAAAAAAAAAAAAAGCACCCUCACUUCCUAGAAAGAAGCAAUCACAGUUAAAGAAAUAAGUAUAAAGCCACCUGCAAGCCUGCAACUAGCAACCACGAAACAACACCAACCAAAACCACCAACCAGCCGAACCACCGAUCGUUUGGGGCUGACAGGUCAGAGUGAAUAACCCAAAAAUCCACCAAGCUCCGUAUCCGCUUCCGCCUUUAGUAACUGCCUCCGCCUCCGCCUCCGCCUCUGCAUCCGUAACCGCCUCCGUAAACCGCUUCCGCAUCCGCAUCCUGGUAGCUCCCGAUAGCUCCCCCAGAUUGAUCCACACCAAACCUAACCACAUACCAGCACCACAAUUGCACAUUACUACCAUAGAUACCCCCGGCAGUACUACUACCGCAUGGAGCGCGGCACCAGCGGUGGUCAGCAACAGCAGCAGCCGCACCACCAUCAGUCGCACCACCAGCAACAACAGUCGCACCACCACCAGCAACAGCAGUCGCGCCACCAGCAUGUGGUGGCCGUCCACAGCUUCGAUCCGUAUCUGAUCGCCGGCGGUGCGGACGAGGAGCACACGUCGGGCACCUCGUCCUUUGACAAUCCCGCCACCAAGAAGAAACCACCCAAGCUGAAGCCCAUCCACCGAUCCCUGUCCAUGGCCAUUGACAACUAUGCCCCGGCUGGGGAUAUGGAUAUGGACCUGGAUAUGGAAAUGCAAAUGCAAAUGGGCAUGGGCAUGGGUAUGGGCAUGGGAAUGGGCAUGGACAUGGAUAUGGACAUGGAUAUGGAUAUGGAGAUGGACGAUAACGAUGGCCUUGUGCGUGGCAUGGGCGAGGGGAUCGUUAUCAGUGAGAAGCCGCUGAUCCACCGCUCGGCCUCGCCGCUGCCCCACCCCCGAUCCGGCGCCCUACCCCCGCAGACCCUAGCUAUCCCAGCACAACAGAAACAGCAACAUGUCUCCUUAUCCCAUCCAUCUAGUGGGGGCGGCAGUGGUUCUGUAUCGCCAGCACUAUCUGCUCGCCAUCAACACCAACAACAUCACCUCCUCCAACAACAACAAAAACAGCAACACCACCACCAACAACAACAACAGCAACACCAACAACAGCAACAACAACAACAACAACAACAGUUGCACAUGCACACUUUUCAGCAUUUGGCCGCACAGGCCGCUGCUGCCGGCAGGCAUACGCACCGCCAACAACAACAACAACAACAACAACAUACGCAUCCGCAUCAACUACAACAACAUCAUCAGCUUCAACAUCCGCAUCAGCAUCCGCAUUCGCAUGCGCACUCGAAGAGCUCACCAACCUCACACGCGGUCAGUCCGGUGCUCGGCCAACAGCACCGCCAGCAACCGGACAUAUACUUGGUCAGCAGCAGCAGCAGCCUGGGCGAUGGUGUCGGUGUCGGUGUGGGUGUGGCCAAUCUUGGGCUGGGCGUGGGCAUGGGCCAGCUGGGCCAGCUUGGCCGAUCCAUGGGCGGGAGCACAUCGCCCAUUCAAUUCAUCGAUAUGGACGAUAUGCCCUCGGCCAAUCAAACGGCCGCCACCCAACGGCCGAUGCACACGCAUCCGCUGAAGAAGAACCUGUUCCGGCGCUCCGACACCAUUGACGUCCAUCCGUCUACCAAUUUUCAGAUGAAGAAAACGCAUUCCUUCCACGCACAACAGGAUCCCGCCGCCCUGGACCAAAUCCAGCUGGCCGUUGCCGGUGCCGGUGGAUCGGCCACCUCGAGUCGUCGCACCAGCUCCGUGAGGGGCAACUUCCUAAUGCCGGGACCACCGGCCGGUGCCAAGGAGAUAUCCCGUUCGCCGUCGCCCAGCCGACGUGGCUGUCGGUCGCAUCGCUCCUUCAACGAUCCCGGCCGACGGCCGAGUGUUAAGCCGGACUCGGUGGUGGAAUCGCAGAUACGACAUCCCUCGCUGAACGACGACCUGCUGGAACCGAUGAACGGACGGAAUCUGUUCGCACCGCCCACCAAUCUGUCGCUGGAGAACGAGCUGUUCGUAGACACCCGAUCGCGCAGCAACAGUCACACCAAGAUGGAGGAGCUGGGCCUGGCGGAGAUCACCGCCGCCGCCGUGGCGGUGCAACGAUUACGCAAGAGCUCCGGUGCCGGGUCCUUCGAGGAUGCCGGCGCUGGACACGCCACCCACCCGCCUUCGUCCUCGAACAGUGUGAAGCAGAAGCGGGAAUCGCACCAUCCGCACACCCGCCAACAGAGCACCCACAGCCUGGAGCUGGACGGCCGACCCUCCACAUCGGCAGCGGCGGCAGCUGCAGCCGGCGGAGGUGGCCUCCAGCUGCACAGUGCGGCCGCGGCGGCCAGUGCGGCGUACCACUUUAAGCGGGGCGCCCAGCACGGCCGCUCGCUCUACCUGUCGCCCAGCAACCUGGAGGAGUUGGCCGUCCACCGACCGGGCGUUCUGGCAGCCGCUGCCGCCUUUCAGGGCACCAACGCCAGCGCCAGUGUGAAGCAGGCCAAGGCUUUGCACAGCGCCAGUGUGCGCCUGCGCAGCUAUCGGGAGACACUGAGUGCUUCGAAGAAAUCGAAAAGCUUCAUUGGAGACGCCGGGGCCGUGAGCGGUCCGCCGGCGGGCGACGACUUCGAGCUGAGCUCACCCCACCGACGCAACAGUCGCCCGCUCUCCACGGCGGUGCCCGGUUCGAGCAUCGAGGAGAUCAAGCGGAGUCCACGACCCAUCUCCGCCUCGGCGGCCGCAGCCGCCUUCUUGGAGGAGAAACGGCCAUCGUUCGAACGGAAAUCAUCGCUGACCUACGACCACGAGCUGAGCGACGCCGCCUUCGCCGCCCAAGUGCUGCGGCCAUUCCAUCACAAGCUGGCGGCUGGACGAAAAGGCUCCGUCACGGGCGGCUCCCACAAGCUGAAGAAGAAGUCGCUGAGCGACGACACCGACGAGGAGGAGGCGGCGGACCGCAAGCGCAAGCGCAUCGUCUGCAUCGUCCUGUCGACGGUGCUGCUGUGUUUGGUGUGCGCCAGCGUCUUUGUACUGACCAUCACGUUGACCUCCAGCUCGGGCCAGGCCGGAAAGAAGGCGCACUCGUUCAGCAGGGACACCCCGGUGCACUGGACGGGCAUGCGACCCUCAUGAACUCCAACUCAGAGGCUGUGCUCCAUCACCAUCUCCACCAGCUCCACCGCUACUAGCAGUCACCAGUUACCCGCCGCUGCCGCCAGUUGCCGGUUAUCCCCUGACUUUGGAUUCGAUUUCGUUUUCGUUCCAUUCGCUUCCGCUUCGAAUCCAUGCCUGGUUUCCGCUCUUCGUUUUGUUUCCUCUGCGACUCCGCCGGGCCACCAAACGACGUCCAGCCACUGAGGGGGAGGCGCCAGCAAGGGAGGAGCCGCAGGAGCAGGAGGAACUAUCGCAGAGCCUUUCGGCAGGAGAACGAGCGGAGCUACCGCGAGAAUCUGGAACGCAGCCGGCUGAUGAAGAACCUCACCGAGCUGAACCUGCAACGCCAG